UCAACCACCAAUUGAUGAGUCCGGAUCUCAGUCCGUCUUUCUGUAUCCCAGUAAGAAAACAAAAAAUACAUAGUGAUGCCCCCUGGCGUUGCAGAAAAUCGUGCACCGAAUAAAACGUUGGCUUGCAGCUGUCUGCAGAGGCCAAAAAGUCAACAGGUUACUGGAAGAAAGUCCAAAUCCAAAAUGGCUACGAGCGUCGACCUCAUCGAGUUCUCUCCACGCCGCUCCAUUCUGACAGUCUGCCAAUGUUUUUCUCAGCGUCAAAUGCUAUGUUCUCAAACAAAGAAAUGUUAGCUGGAUGGACAUUAUCUUUCCCUGUCCUUGCAAAGAUUCUCCAAUGUAAGGUUUGCACCAACUAUUCCUUUUUACAGUAAAGGAUAAGAGCCACCGUCCUCUCCGGUGAGUGAUAAUAACUUACAGAGAAGACAACAUCGUAGUCGGCUCCAGUGAAAGCUUCAUCUGUCAGGUCUUCAAAAUAUUCCGCCAGAGCAUCCAAAGUCUCGUCUGCCAGCUUCUCAUACUCUGCUUCCGACAGCUCCCUUUCGGAGGGACAGAGGGACACAUCAAGUCUGGGCACUGAGGCCGGCUGCUGCUGGAAGAACAGAGCCGGGGCCUACCUUAUCUGCACAGGGCUGGCUUUCUUCAGCCUGGCUGAUGUCAGAUGGAUGUUCUUCCUCCACCUAUCUCCAUCGGCUCUGCUCUCAAACCACUGACACAGAGAAACGGAGGUCAGAGAAGCUACUUCCAUUAGUCCUUAAUGGUAAAGUCUAUACGUUUACCAAUAUUUAGGAGAAGAUAUUUGUCGGUAAGAAACCCUCAAACUGCCCGGCUUCUGACAGCAGUCUGGAACCGGCACUUACUUUGUUUGGAGGCUGAGAGAAGGGACGGACCCCCGUCAGGUGGGACAAGCUUCUGAGCUGGAAUAUUAAAUACCGUUAGUGUGCGAGGCCAACUUGUGCUAACGUUACGCAGAAUGAUGUAGCAGUGCGCUGUUCGCUAACGGUCGCUAGUUGGCUCGUAUGGACGUGGCUACCUGGUUGGAGAGAGUCCGGACUGUCCGCGCCGUCGCCAUGUUGAGCUGUGUGUUCGCAAGGUGACACAUGUGCGGACAGAAAGCCGCUGUUCUAGAGAAGAGGAGCAUGGUGUGACCAUAGACUGUACUGGCGCGGAGCGGCCCUGCGUCUUCUUCCGCUACGUCUGUCUUCUUCUUCUCCUCCUUCUCUGUGUUUAGCAUUCAUUGUCGCAAACCGACUUGAAAGGUGCACACUGCCACCCUCCGUGUCGGAGCGACUAGCUUCACGGCACUAUAUAUAUAAAAUAAAAUGUCCAAACCCUGUCUGGAUUAUAUAACCUAUCAACCCCCGUCUGAUUUCCCUCAUGUCCUGUUCUUAGCUCAGUAGCGAUUUCAUCCUCCAUUCCUGUCCCUCUCUGAAUGAUAUUUUCUGUACUGCAUGAGAAUGUGUUCCACACCUUCUACAGCUGGGGUCCUCAACUACUUUUGUUCAUAGGUCAGAAUUUCUCUAAGCAGACACUUAAAGAAGUCACCAGAUAAAUGUUUUACUUCAUUAGAAAAUGCCAAGGAGGCUGUUCACUGUGGAGUGAUCACAGAGAACCUGACAUGGUCAUCUCACAUCUCCACACUGGUGAAGGAAGCUCAGAAACUGCUGAGGGCUAAAUUCCUGUUCCAAGUUUUCCUUUCCUUUAUAUCGUUUUUUUUUUUAUAUAACAUUUGUUUUUGUAAGAUGAUCUGAACUACAGAUUAAUCUUGAUAUGUAAGUCUUAUGAUUGUUGGAUCUACCUUGUACCCAGUCAGUUAACUUUAAUAGCCUAAAUGGAAUUAUGUAAAUGCUCUGUAUUUGUAUAGCACCUUUCUAGUCUCCUGAGUACUUAAAGCACAUUUAGGUUACAUCACAUUUGAGAAUCACAACAGAAACUAACAUUCACACACAUUCGUAUGCCGAUGGCACAGCCAUCAUGGGCAAUUUUGGGGUUCAGUACAGUGGCGGUCUGGUCAGUCAUUUAAACGUUUCCAUGCGUGCAUUUAAUAUUGUUGGACAUUUAUGCAGCAAAACAAAAGCAAAUUGUUAAAAACUUGAUAUGUCAGACAGAGGAAACCCUGCAGAGAGAACAGAAUUCAACUUUUAGCGUCUGAAAUGUUUAGAUGCUCUAAUGGAGCUCAGAAUUGAUCAGGAAGACGGCUGCUUUACUCCAAAUAGUGUGUCUGUAUGAAUCUGGACUGUGUGAGACCGUUUGGAUGUGUAGAAGAACACAGCAUAUUAUUUAACAUUAGAUUAGUAUUGGAGGGCAGUUGGGUGGAGUAUAUGGGUGCCAGUUCUGGUGGGCUGGACUGGAUCAAAGUCCAGGGAAAUGUUUUACUCCCAGUCCGUCCCUGGUUCAGUAUCUUGCCUAAAGACACUUUGACAUGCAGCCUGGAGGAGCUGGGGAUUGAAACACUGAUCUUCCGAUUAGAGGGCAACCCGCUCUACCCAAAUUAUGUUUGGUUAAUGAAGGUUUUACAGCCAUUAGAAGAAAAACAUGACUACCUCUAUGAGAAGAAUCACCAAGUAUUUUAUAACCCAAAGUAAAUCUUCAAAUAUUACAAGAGAGGAGAUAGUGAGCAAAAUAAUGACAUUGGAUUAUUUGGUUCAAAUAUAUUUACCAUUUACCAUGGAUCAAAAACAUGUUAGAUUGGACAUAUGCAUUCCAGAGUUGACAAAAAAAUUGUUAACAGAAAAGCAGCAGGUUAGCAGUUUGGAGAGCAGAACUAACAGCAAUAGCCUAUUCAUCUGUCUUCAGUGGGUAAAGGAGGUUAAACUACAUAAAGUUGAGAUGUUUGCAGUGUCUGUCAAAGUGAGAAGUAAUAGAAGAAAAACAGAAGAUGAAGUUAUUUCACUGCUACUUUAUACACAAUAAUAAAGUCAGUGUCAGAUAAAUGUGAGAAUUAUAACUGUAAGGAGUGAUGGGUUGGAGGAGGUUCAGUAUAGAAAGAGAAAGGUAUCAAAGGUCUGAUUUACAAUGAUAGGUUCAAGGGGGUUUCAAUAAAUAUCUAACUAGCUUCAUGUCCAGAAUAUAUCUUCUUUAUAAUGCAAGUUUUGUUUUUGAAGUCAUAAUGUUAGUCAUUCCAAUAUAGGUGGGAGCACUUUUAACAUUAGUUUGUAGUCUGCCUGUAAAACUUAAGAAGCAGAAGAAGAAGAAGCUUGAUAACAUAUGAUAUGUGUAUGUAUGGAGACUUAACCUAGAGGGUUAAUAGGAAAAACUGACAACUGUGGGAACUGGACUACAAUUUUUUGUUUUGCGGGGGUCUGUAGUAUAAGAAACCUUACAAGAUUAAAAAAGAAAUAAAUACUAGAAGCCUGGACAGACAGACUUCAUUGAUCAUUAGGUGGUUUUCUCACCACACAGCAGCACACUACUUGCCCCAGAAUUCUUUAAUACUGCAACAAAGUUUAAGUUUCAAACCAACAAAGACUACUGUUCAAGAAGAGACCGCAAACCCGCCUUUUAUGGUCCCAUAUUAAUUAUUAUUAAUCAUGUCGUAAUGACAUUCAUGCGGUGCGCAGUGUAGUUCGUUUGGAAAAUGUGUUUAUUUUAGCCCGUUUCUCUUAUUAAUGUAAAUAAUAAUUUCAAUGAAAAUACAUUUGUGAUUAAAAAUAAUGGUUGUAGGUAAAUGAAUUAGUGACCCCCACAGAUGCAGGAUUUUACUGCUUCCAUAAGAGCUCAGACCCUCCUUAUGGACUGUAACCAGAACCCUGCUGGACUAUGUGGACUACAGCUUGUGGACUAUCAAACGAAUGGACACACAUGCAAUACAACAUGUACAACUGUAUCGAUAAUUCAACAGUAUCAAAUUUGUAAUUUCAUGUCUUGGGCCAUUAUUUUCACCAUCUCUCUGAACACAUAGUUGGAAAAGCUAGAGCAGAUAAUAAGUAACCAACACCCAAAGAUCAGUCUACUGGGGAGGAACUACAAGAGACUAGAUCAGGGGAAAGUAAUUUGGCUGGUUAUAUAUAUAUAUGACCUCAGAAUUAUUGUAGAUACGACUGUUCAUGUUUGUCUGUACUAAUUACAAAUCUCCCUACGGGGACAAAUAAAGAGAUUGAUUUGUGUCUUUA